UACGAAGGGGGCUAGCGUUGUUCGGAAUCACUGGGCGUAAAGCGCACGUAGGCGGAUCGUUAAGUCGGGGGUGAAAUCCCAGGGCUCAACCCUGGAACUGCCUUCGAUACUGGCGAUCUUUGAGUCCGGGAGAGGUGAGUGGAACUCCGAGUGUAGAGGUGAAAUUCGUAGAUAUUCGGAAGAACACCAGUGGCGAAGGCGGCUCACGGGCCCGGUACUGACGCUGAGGUGCGAAAGCGUGGGGAGCAAACAGG
rnacentral:rRNA from 1 species